UAGGGAAUCUUCCACAAUGGACGCAAGUCUGAUGGAGCAACGCCGCGUGAGUGAAGAAGGUCUUCGGAUCGUAAACUCUGUUGUUAGAGAAGAACACGAGUGAGAGUAACUGUUCAUUCGAUGACGGUAUCUACCAGCAAGUCACGGCUAACUACGUACCAG
rnacentral:rRNA from 1 species